ACGUAUACAAUCUGGAAGCUUAUUUAUACGAAAUGCAUGCUUGUCAUACGGAGAUGUACCAAUUGCGUGCGUAGCACGAAUUUUGGGGAGGCGCCAUUCGGUUCUUGGUAGGUUGCCCGUCACUGGUCAGGUCGUUGAUGUUGUUGUUUUGUCGUUGUUCGCUGUUUCUCUUUGAUAUUGCUGGGUAGUUGUUGUUUAUAGAUGGCUGAAGUCGUUGUUAAUGGAUUGCUGAUCCGGUUGUUGUUGGAUUGUUGUUUGUACGGGAUCGAGUAAGCGAAGAGAUAUGAGGUAUGGUUCAGGUCGGUCAGGCAGGUUGGUUUUGGGCAAUUGGUGAAGUGGUGUGUUGUUGGGUUGUUGUUAAGCAAAGAAAGAGGAAAGGCCAUUGGGCUAGG
rnacentral:lncRNA from 1 species